rnacentral:rRNA from 1 species
UACGGACUGUGCAAACGUUAUUCGGUGUCACUGGGCUUAAAGAGUUCGUAGGCGGUCUGGUAGGUGAGGUGUGAAAGCUCUCGGCUCAACCGAGGAAUUGCGCUUCAAACCGCUGGACUUGAGGAAGAUAGAGGUGAGCGGAACUCACGGUGGAGCGGUGAAAUGCGUUGAUAUCGUGAGGAACACCGGUGGCGAAAGCGGCUCACUGGGUCUUUUCUGACGCUGAGGAACGAAAGCUAGGGGAGCAAACGGG